rnacentral:rRNA from 1 species
AGUGAACGCUGGCGGUAGGCCUAACACAUGCAAGUCGAACGGCAGCACAGUAAGAGCUUGCUCUUACGGGUGGCGAGUGGCAGACGGGUGAGGAAUACAUCGGAAUCUACUUUUUCGUGGGGGAUAACGUAGGGAAACUUACGCUAAUACCGCAUACGACCUAAGGGUGAAAGCAGGGGAUCUUCGGACCUCGCGCGAUUGAAUGAGCCGAUGUCGGAUUAGCUAGUUGGCGGGGUAAAGGCCCACCAAGGCGACGAUCCGUAGCUGGUCUGAGAGGAUGAUCAGCCACACUGGAACUGAGACACGGUCCAAACUCCUACGGGAGGCAGCAGUGGGGAAUAUUGGACAAUGGGCGCAAGCCUGAUCCAGCCAUACCGCGUGGGUGAAGAAGGCCUUCGGGUUGUAAAGCCCUUUUGUUGGGAAAGAAAAGCAGCAGGUUAAUCCCCCGCUGUUCUGACGGUACCCAAAGAGUAAGCACCGGCUAACUUCGUG